CCUACGGGUGGCAGCAGUGAGGAAUAUUGGUCAAUGGACGAGAGUCUGAACCAGCCAAGUAGCGUGAAGGAUGACUGCCCUACGGGUUGUAAACUUCUUUUAUAAAGGAAUAAAGUGAGGCACGUGUGCCUUUUUGUAUGUACUUUAUGAGUAAGGAUCGGCUAACUCAGUGCCAGCAGCCGCGGUACUACGGAGGAUCCGAGCGUUAUCCGGAUUUAUUGGGUUUAACGGGAGCGUAGAUGGGUUGUUAAGUCAGUUGUGAAAGUUUGCGGCUCAACCGUAAAAUUGCAAUUGAUACUGGCAGUCUGGAGUACAGUUGAGGUAAGCGGAAUUCGUGGUGUAGCGGUGAAAUGCUUAGAUAUCACGAAGAACCUCGAUGGCGAAGGCAGCUUACUAAACUGUGACUGACAUUGAUGCUCGAAAGUGUGGGUAGCAAACAGGAUUAGAUACCCUAGUAGUC
rnacentral:rRNA from 1 species